rnacentral:rRNA from 2 species
AGGUGCGAUCAUACCAGCACUAAUUGACCGGAUCCGACGAGAGUAGUACAAGGAUGGGUGACCUCCUGGGAAGUCCUCGUGUUGCACCUC